AGCAAACGCUGGCGGCAGGCCUAACACAUGCAAGUCGAACGGAUCCUUCGGGAUUAGUGGCGGACGGGUGAGUAACACGUGGGAACGUGCCUUUUGGUUCGGAACAACUCAGGGAAACUUGAGCUAAUACCGAAUGUGCCCUUCGGGUGAAAGAUUUAUCGCCAUUAGAGCGGCCCGCGUCUGAUUAGCUUGUUGGUGAGGUAAAGGCUCACCAAGGCUACGAUCAGUAGCUGGUCUGAGAGGAUGAUCAGCCACAUUGGGACUGAGACACGGCCCAAACUCCUACGGGAGGCAGCAGUGGGGAAUCUUGCGCAAUGGGCGAAAGCCUGACGCAGCCAUGCCGCGUGAAGGAAGACGGCCUUAUGGGUUGUAAACUUCUUUACUAUGCGACUAACUAGAUUUACGAGAUAAUUCUAUAGAAUGUAGCAUAGCAAAAAGCAACCGGCUAACUCCGUGCCAGCAAGCCGCGGUAAAGAGUAGUAA
rnacentral:rRNA from 1 species